UGACGGCAAUAUCAGGCUGAAACACCGGUUCCCGUACGAUCACAGAGGUUAAGCAAAGUCGAGCCUGGUCAGCAACUAGAUGGGUGACAGCUUGAGAAUAGCAGGCGCUGUAAG